rnacentral:misc_RNA from 1 species
GGCCAACAUGUUUGACAGAAGCAAGCUAGAAACAGCACAUUGGAAUUACUGUGCAUGAUUACUAAGCUCGAAACAUGAAGGUGAUAUUAGAUCAGUUUUAGUUAAGGUUUGAACCUAAGCCACUUUUAUGGAAAAUACAGAGUCAAAAAAUAAACAAACGAAAUGAUAAAAGGUUAAGAAACCUGUUUUCCGACAAUCAAACUUGCUAACUUUCAACAG